AAUUCAGUGCAGGGGUAAAAUGAUAAUUUUAAAACUUUUUCAAAAUUAUGAUUUUACAGUAAAAAAAUAUUAAUUAAUCUAAUUAAUUAACAUAAAUUUAUCCAACACUAGGAUCUAAAUAUGAUAUAUAGCAUGCAUUCAUUUAAAUUUGAAAUUCAAAUUCGAACAGUAAACACUUUACUGUAAUGUGUUCAGAACACAAUACCUUUGUGCGGAUAGUAGAUCGCUGCAAUCUGA
rnacentral:lncRNA from 1 species